AUUGAACGCUGGCGGUAGGCCUAACACAUGCAAGUCGAACGCGAAAGUUCUUCGGAAUGAGUAGAGUGGCGGACGGGUGAGUAACGCGUAGGAAUCUGUCCUGUAGUGGGGGAUAACGUUCCGAAAGGAACGCUAAUACCGCAUACGCCCCACGGGGGAAAGCGGGGGAUCUUCGGACCUCGCGCUAUAGGAGGAGCCUGCGUCGGAUUAGCUAGUUGGUAGGGUAAAGGCCUACCAAGGCGACGAUGGUUAGCUGGUCUGAGAGGAUGAUCAGCCACACUGGAACUGACACACGGUCCAGACUCCUACGGGAGGCUG
rnacentral:rRNA from 1 species